rnacentral:misc_RNA from 1 species
GUGAGAACGCAGCGAAAUGCGACAACUAAUGUGAAUUGCAGAAUUCAGUGAAUCAUCGAGUCUUUGAACGCACAUUGCGCCCUCUGGUAUUCCGGAGGGCAUGCCUGUCCGAGCGUCAUUGCUGCCCUCAAGCCCGGCUUGUGUGCUGGGCCCCGUCCCCCCCGCCGGGGGGACGGGCCCGAAAGGCAGCGGCGGCACCGCGUCCGGUCCUCGAGCGUAUGGGGCUUCGUCACCCGCUCUAGUAGGCCCGGCCGGCGCCAGCCGACCCCCAACCUUUAAUUAUCUCAGGUUGACCUCGGAUCAGGUAGGGAUACCCGCUGAACUUAAGCAUAUCAAUAAGCGGAGGA